AAACAAACACGUCAGUCCAGUCAGUCGGUCAGUCAUUCAGAAACUCAGAGAGGGCUUGUUCAGCUUCAGCCUCUGGAAGAACAGAAACACCACUGAAAGCAGACAUGCAUCCUGUACUGAUCGGCAUCGUAACUGCCAACACCAGUUUAACCAUCAUCUACUGGAACUUCCUUCUGUCUCAGGUUUUCUGCAAGAAGCUCAAGGAUGCGCCUGAACCUGAGGAAAUCCCAGUCUGAACUGAGACCUUGACCAUAAGAAGAAAAAGAAGAUGAUGACGAAGAAGAGGAAAGCUAAUCCUUGGAAGCAGGAUGAAAAAGAGAAAAUGUAACAAAAAGGAACAGACUGAUAUUUGACUGAAGAAUAUCUGCCAUUUAUAUCUACUGUAUUAACAUGAUGUCACUGAAUACAAUCCCUCAUCUUUCAUCCACUAGUCAAACUCUAACUCUUUAUUACAGUCUUAAAAUCAAUCAUGGCUGCUCAUUUCCAUCAAAACAAGGAGCACGAAAGCACCAAGCUUAUAAUUUGUUGUAAAUCUGUAGCAAAAUGUGUUUGUAAUUUUGUAUGUUUUCUAACUAUAUUUAGCAAAGUAGCUGCCCAUGUUUUGUGAAUCUUUGUGGCUUUCUUAGACAUGCCCAAUUCCCUCGACAAUAAUAAAUGAGUAUAAUAUAGAGAGUAUUGGUACUGUUUACAUGGCAUUUGUCCUCCUGUAACCUACUCUCUGAUCCGGAUUAGCAUGAUUAGCGUGUGCUAGUUCAGGCAGGGUGCUCGGCGCAGACAGAGGGAGCUGUAGCUGUUUGAUCACCACUGAUGAUGUACUUUCUGUUCUCCAGUGAAUGCACAGACCUUAUUUGACACACUGUUUGUGUGGGAUUACGGUUUCGUUCAGUUGUUACAUUAAGAAGAUGCUGCUACCUGAGCUUACCCGCAAACACUUUGGCUGGUGUAAUGUAAUGAAGUCAAGCUGACUGACUGAAGAUUGAAAUA
ensembl:processed_transcript